AUGCAUCCAUUCCUGGAGCCAGAAUUGACAUCUGGACGCGCACGGCUUUGUUUGGCAUGCACACAUCACACCCUCGCCCACAAUUACUUCCCACGCUGUCUUUGUUUUCCGACCGGGGUCUGCAGCCCCCUUUCAUUCAGAGGGGAGCAAAGAAAUUGGGCAACUGGUUUUCCUCGCACACCUCAUUCUCUCUCCCCCUCUCCUGCCACCCCUUCCAGCUUCACUUUCCCCUUUGUUUUUGUUCCAGGAAGUCACGACAUCAAGAGCAAGUCAAAGUCAAAGCCACAGCGCAAGGCACAGAAUCUUAUCUCGCCGGCACAGAUACUGCCUGUUGUGUUCCCCUACCAAUACCACUUGCUACGCAGGAGAGCUGGAAGGCACAGGACCAGUGAGCAAAGUUUUGCUGCCAGGAAAAGAGGUGGGCAGCAGCAGAGAUGGAAGAGAGAAGUGUCUGCUUUGGUUCAUAGUGGAUUCCUCUUCUCUGAAAGCCCGAAUGCUGCUUUGGAAAUCUUCAAACAUGUGUGCAUAGUGCAUACUGUUAAUGCGGGAUUUGUGUUUAUAGUGUCUAAAUGCAAUUUGUGCCAUGCUUGUAUUGCAACUGAUUGCAUCAUCCAGAAUGUACCAUAGUGUGGAAAGAGUUAAUUGCCAAGAAGCUAUGAUGACCUUGAUGUGUGGCUGGAACUAGGGAGUAUCCAGACACAAGUGUUUGUGCAUAACGACUGCAUCAGUUCAGUUAUUUUACUCUAUUAUUGUUACCAUUACAUUUAUUUUACUCUAUUUUUUUAUUAUUAUUGAUACAUUUAUUAUUUCACUCUGAUAUUAUUAUUGUUAUUAUUACAUUUAUUAUUUGACUGUAUUUAUUAUUAUUCUUACAUUUAUUAUUUUACUCUAUUAUUAUUAAAAGGCUAGGUAAGCACAUGUACAUUGAAGAAGAUGAGAAUGAUGACUUGAUCAGAGUUGGACAGUCUUAAAUUACAGUUUUAUGUAAAUAUUCAAAAAUGUUUAGCCUACUGAUGCCUCAAUUAAUUUAAUUUUAUUGGUAUCAAUUUUUAUUUCUGAAAUUUACCACUCUCGGCUUAUACUUGAGUCAAUGUUUUCCCACUUGUUUGUGGUAAAAUUAGAUGCCUCGGCUUAUAUUCAGGUCGGCUUAUACUCGAGUAUAUACGGUAUGGUACAUCUCAACCACCCCAAUUUCUUUUUUUACGGAUUAAUUUUGACUCUUCCUUCUUUCCACCCAUUUAUCAGUAGAUGUCAGCAUUUAACAGGGCAGGCUGGGAACUGUCCUGCAUUGUUUAAAACAUUAAUUGCUGUUCAGACAUUUUCCAGCAUGUGUUUGUUGUUGACUUUUCCAAAGUCAUGGCAGAUAUACUAACAAAUGUACUUAUUCCAACAAAUCAAUGCCAGCAGCUGCGCAGAGGACAAGGCAGGAAUAAUUAAAGAGAUGAGCAGUAGGCGGCAGUCCUUACUUGUGAGGAAGCCUGUUCCUGCGCUUAUUGUUUUAAUGCUGCUUUUAAUUUGCUCGCUGGUAAGAGUUUUAAUGGUUUUGGAGGGUAAUUAUUGUUUUAUGUUUGCUAACUGACAACAUAAGCGUGCUGAAAAUCCUUUUGAUGAAGAGCAGAAUAAAUGCAUCAAAUAAAUAAACUGAAAUUACUCCUCUGCAGAGGUUUGAAAUACUGCACUGGGUACCAUAGCUUGGAAAAGCUACCGUAUAUACUCGAGUAUAAGCCGACCCGCUGCUAGCCCCAGCUUCUACCAACCUAGCAGUUUGAAAACAUGCAAA
rnacentral:lncRNA from 11 species